GCGCGUGUGGCGGAAUUGGUAGACGCGCUGGAUUUAGGUUCCAGUAUCUUCGGGUGUGGGGGUUCGAGUCCCCCCUCGCGCA
rnacentral:tRNA from 1 species